UACGAAGGUGGCAAGCGUUACUCGGAAUUACUAGGCGUAAAGGGCAGGUAGGUGGUCUGAUAAGUCUGUUGUGAAAGCUCCUGGCUUAACUGGGAGAGGUCAACAGAUACUGUCAGGCUUGAGUAUGGGAGAGGGUACUGGAAUUCCUGGUGUAGCGGUGAAAUGCGCAGAGAUCAGGAGGAACACCGAUGGCGAAAGCAGGUACCUGGACCAUUACUGACACUCAGCUGCGAAAGCUAGGGGAGCAAACAGG
rnacentral:rRNA from 1 species